GGGGCCCUUAAGGUUGGGGUUCAACCUUUUAACAUUAUUCUUUUCUUUAUUUGGUUGAAGAAAUUAUGACCCAAUUAUAACUCACUAUACCAUGUUUAUGUAAAUUAGUAUGUACAUGUAGCAAAAUCGCACUCUUUUUUUCCUCUCUAUUAUGUAUUAUUUAAUGGGUUGUGCUACAUGUAAAGAAUGGUUUACAUAAACAUGAUGUUGUGAGAUAUAAUUAAUUCAUUAUUUCUUUAACCCAAAAAAAGUAAAUAAAUAAAUAAAUUCUCCACUCUCUUUUUGACACCUUAUUAGUAUGUAAGUUCAGCCUCAAUUUGGGAUUCAUUCACCUCUACAGGUUCAAGAACAAGUUUAGUUUGCUGAUGAACAAGAUUAUUAUUAUCAUCUUCAGUUCAGCCUCAAUUUGGGUUUCAUUCACCUCUACAGGUCCUGGAGUAGAUUUAGUUUGCUGAUGAACAGGAUUAUUACUAUCAUCUUCAGGUUGAGGUGAAAAUCUACGAUUGAAAAGGAAGUGAAGGAGAGAAGCAAAAACGAGCGGAAAUAGCAAAAUCCAAAGUACAUGAAUUAAAUUGGCCAUUGGAUGCAAUUUUUGGGAAUCAAAGUCUAACUAUAAAAAUUGGACUGAUUUGCAUCGCUUUGAAAAUUGAGUACUUGGAGAAAAAUAAUCUACUAAGUGGGCUCAAUUGGACUUGCUUUGAAAUUCAAAUUGAAGAUUUACUAGGACGGUUGGACCUCUAAUUGGACUAGAAGAGCUGCUAGGUUGCAUUGCAUCGUAGGAUUCAUAUAUAUACACACAGAAAAUCCAAAGAGCCGGGGGGAGCAGCCUGGGAAAUAAUAUACAUUGGCAGCUACAAGAAUUAGGGAGACAGAAAAAAAAACAAGAGGCAGGUCGGCAUCUUUGGGAGGAGAAUUCUGCCAUCAAAGAUAUAAACACAAGUGCCGACUGCUAGGGGAUAGAGUGGAGAAAAAUCUGUGCUUUACUGGAGUGAGAAACACGCACAUAAAACGAAGGAAGAGGGGAUAGAUACAAGUUGCUGGCGGCAAGGAAGAAUUGGAGAAGAAAGAAGCAGCCAAUUAAUAUUUAGACUCACGCACAAAGAAAACGUCACCAGCUAGGAGGAACAAUAAUUAUAUACACGCAGUUGCAAUAUUAUAUAUUUACACAAACAUUGGGCGGUGACGUGAAGGAUUGUUCGGCACAAACACGGAAGUAGAUAUAUACACAUACGCCCACAGAUUCAUAAGGGUUGUUGCCGGCUGGUUUCAUUAAAAAAUUAUACACACGGGAAGACACUUUGGCAGAAAACAUAAAACACAUACACGCAUAGCAAAGACCAGAUUUGGAGAUUGAAUUGAAGGCUGUUUUUGGAGGGUUGCUUUUGGCUGAAAUAUAACACAUUGGCAUGAGCUUUUUGGGAAGAAAAAGAUACAAAAAGGAGGCAACCCAUUGGAAUAAAAAGAGAAAGACGGAGAUUUACUUUGGAAAUUAUUCACGUUUCGUUAAUUUCUCGGUGACGUUCUUCCAAUUUUAUGUGUUUAAUUUCAACAUCAUGUUAGGCUAAUUUUUCUCAUGUAUUGGAUGACGAUAAAAUUCGUUAUUAUUUAUUUUUAAUUCAAGACAUGUGGUUUAGUUAAA